rnacentral:rRNA from 1 species
AUUUGAUCCUGCCGGAGGCCAUUGCUAUCAGGGUUCGACUAAGCCAUGCGAGUCGAGAGGUGUAAGACCUCGGCAUACUGCUCAGUAACACGUGGUUAACCUGCCCUAAGGUGGAGAAUACUCCCGGGAAACUGGGGUUAAUGCUCCAUAGUGGAUAUGUCCUGGAAUGGUAUAUCCUCGAAAGAUCCGUCGCCUUAGGAUGGGACUGCGUCCGAUUAGGUUGUUGGCGGGGUAACGGCCCACCAAGCCAUUGAUCGGUACGGGUUGUGGGAGCAAGAUCCCGGAGAUGGAUUCUGAGACAUGAAUCCAGGCCCUACGGGGCGCAGCAGGCGCGCAAACUUUACAAUGCGAGCAAUCGUGAUAAGGAAACCCUGAGUGCCUGUCGAUGCAGGCUGUUCAUAUAUCUAAAUCAUAUGUGAAGAAAGGGCAGGGCAAGACCGGUGCCAGCCGCCGCGGUAAUACCGGCUGCUCGAGUGAUGGCCACUAUUACUGGGUUUAAAGCGUCCGUAGCUUGACUGUUAGGUCUCUUGGGAAAUCUUCACGCUCAACGUGAAGGCGUCUAAGAGAUACCGGCAGUCUUGGAACUGGGAGAGGUAAACCGUACUUCGGGGGUAGGAGUGAAAUCUUGUAAUCCUCGAGGGACGGCCUAUGGCGAAGGCAGUUUACCAGAACAGCUUCGACAGUGAGGGACGAAAGCUGGGGGAGCAAACGGGAUUAGAUACCCCGGUAGUCCCAGCCGUAAACAAUGUGCGUUAGGUGUGUCGGUAACCACGUGUUACUGAUGCGCCGAAGAGAAAUCGUGAAACGCACCACCUGGGAAGUACGGUCGCAAGGCUGAAACUUAAAGGAAUUGGCGGGGGAGCACCACAACAGGUGGAGCCUGCGGUUUAAUUGGAUUCAACGCCGGAAAU